CCUACGGGUGGCAGCAGUGAGGAAUAUUGGUCAAUGGACGAGAGUCUGAACCAGCCAAGUAGCGUGAAGGAUGACUGCCCUAUGGGUUGUAAACUUCUUUUAUAUGGGAGUAAAAUGUUCCACGUGUGGGAUUUUGUAUGUACCAUAUGAAUAAGGAUCGGCUAACUCCGUGCCAGCAGCCGCGGUAAUACGGAGGAUCCGAGCGUUAUCCGGAUUUAUUGGGUUUAAAGGGAGCGUAGGUGGAUUGUUAAGUCAGUUGUGAAAGUUUGCGGCUCAACCGUAAAAUUGCAGUUGAAACUGGCAGUCUUGAGUACAGUAGAGGUGAGCGGAAUUCGAGGUGUAGCGGUGAAAUGCUUAGAUAUCACGAAGAACUCCGAUUGCGAAGGCAGUUCACUGGACUGCAACUGACACUGAGGCUCGAAAGUGUGGGUAUCAAACAGGAUUAGAUACCCUAGUAGUC
rnacentral:rRNA from 1 species